ACAGGCAUGAGCCACCAUGCCUGGUCUUCUUUUUAUUAAAAAAAAAAAAAUAGAGACAGGGUUUCACCAUGUUGCCCAGGGUGGUCUCGAACUCUUGAGCUAAAAGGAUCCACCCAUCUUGGCCUCCCAAAGUGCUGGGAUUAUAGGCAUGAGCCAGCGUCCUUGGCCUCUAUUUUAUUUUCUUUCUUUUUUUUUUUUUUGAGAUGGAAGUCUUGCUGCUUCACUCAGGCUGGAGUGCAGUGGCGAGAUCUUGGCUCACUGCAACCUCCACCUCCCGGCUUCAAGCGAUUCUCCUGCCUCAGCCUCCUGAGUAGCUGGGAUUACAGGCAUAGGCCACCAUGCCCAGCUAAUUUUUGUAUUUUUAGUAGAGACGGGGUUUCACCAUGUUGGCCAGGAUGGUCUUGAUCUCCUGACCUCGUGAUCCGCCCGCCUCAGCCUCCCAAAGUGUUGGAAUUACAGGCGUGAGCCGCCACACCCGGCCCUAUUUUCUAUUUUGGUUAUUUCAGACUAGGAAUACAGAGACGCAGAAAACUACAGCUGUGCACUGAGACCACUGACACUUGGGAGUCACCGCACUCCAGGGACAAAAGGAUGGACACAUCCAGAGACACGGACACACCCACAAAUCAUCGCCCCCACUCUUCAGCCUCACAGCGGCCCCCUGGUCCCUCCAGAAUCUCUGUCAUCAGUCACCCCCAUACACAGAGCAUCGUCCAUCGUGGGUGGGGGCCCCGCCACAGAUGCCACUCCCCAGACCCAGAAGAUGACCGCAAGCUGCUGCAACGCGGGGCAGGGGUUCAGGAUGUCCGUAAUCUCCCGCCUCGCCCUGUCUGAGUCCCCUUUUCUGUCGCCUGGAAAAACCACAGCAGCCGCCCUCGCAGAAGUAGGGAAGUUCGCCCGUGCUACAGCGGCGUCCGCAAUCCCAGGGGGCCCCACGGGACGAGGCUUAAGAGGCGAGGCGCGCUGCAUGCCGGGAGGAGCUCGAUGGGCGGGGCUUUGAGCGACUGUGCAGCCUCCGUUUGAGGUCGCCGUUUCCCACAAGCCCCCGGGGCAGGGACCUCGCCGGCGCAGUUGUCGGGCUGGGACUGCGCGGGUGCUGCGUGAGACUUGACGUGCCUUUUAAGAGAAGAAAGAUGCGUGAAGACUGUCCUGCACUUGGUGCAUUCAUAUGGUUUUUCUCCAGCAGAAACUUUCUUGUGCAGGGAGGGUCUAGAGAAAUGCUAUGCAAAUGAAGUAACUUUUCCAUUUGAAACGUUGCAUAACGCAGCAGGCCUCGGUUGUCCAAACGAUGCACAUUUCAUAGGACUUUCGGAAAAGCCUUCCACCAGCUACUGCAGAAAAUGGAUUCUGUGACUGUAAAAACCAAUGGCCGGGCGCAGUGGCUCACACCUGUCAUCCCAGCACUUUGGGAGGCCGAGGAGGGCGGAUCACGAGGUCAGGAGGUCGAGAUCAUCCUAGCUAUCUCUACUAAAAAUGCAAAAAAUUAGCCGGGCGUGGUGACGGGUGCCUGUAGUCCCAGCUACUGGGGAGGCGGAGCUUCGAGUGCGCGCUACUGCACUCCAGCCUGGGCGACAGAGCAAGACUCCGUCUCAAAAAAAAAAAAAAAAACCAAAAAAAUAACAACAACAAUGAAAUGUGCACGUUAAAUGGCUGUACGUUCUAUAUGUCAGUAAAGCUGGUUUUUAAAAAACAUAAAGAAUGUGAAGUUCACUGUCUUCCUCAAAAACAUGAUACACAAAAUGAAGACGCCCAUGACCUCACCUCUAGUCAACGUUAUACUAGUUCCAGCACCACCAGGAAAUAUACAAGAAUUAUAAAACAUAAACUUGUCUUUUUGCAAAUUUCUAAGAAUUAUGCACAUAAAACCCC
rnacentral:lncRNA from 10 species